GUCGAACGAGAAAGUCCCCGCAAGGGGAUGAGUACAGUGGCGACCGGGUGAGUAACACGUGACUAACCUACCCUGAAGCGGGGAAUAACCUCGGGAAACCGGGGCUAAUACCGCAUAUCUUCCAGAGGGGAAGCUCCUCUGGAGGAAACGAGCAAUCGGCUUUAGGAGGGGGUCGCGCCCGAUUACGGUAGUUGGCGGGGUAACGGCCCACCAAGCCUUUGAUCGGUAGCCGGCCUGAGAGGGCGCACGGCCACACUGGAACUGAAACACGGUCCAGACUCCUACGGGAGGCAGCAGUGGGGAAUUUUGCGCAAUGGGGGAAACCCUGACGCACCAACGCCGCGUGGAGGAUGAAGUCCCUUGGGACGUAAACUCCUUUCGACCGGGACGAUAAUGACGGUGCCGGUGGAAGAAGCCCCGGCUAACUUCGUGCCAGCAGCCGCGGUAAUACGGGGGGGGCAAGCGUUGUUCGGAAUUAUUGGGCGUAAAGGGCGCGUAGGCGGCGCGUGCAAGUCUUCUGUGAAAUCCCCGGGCUCAACCCGGGGUCUGCAGGGGAAACUGCCGUGCUGGAGUGUGGGAGAGGUGAGUGGAAUUCCCGGUGUAGCGGUGAAAUGCGUAGAUAUCGGGAGGAACACCUGUGGCGAAGGCGGCUCACUGGACCACAACUGACGCUGAGGGCGCGAAAGCUAGGGGAGCAAACAGGAUUAGAUACCCUGGUAGUCCUAGCCUUAAACGAUGAAUGCUUGGUGUGGCGGGUACCCAAUCCCGUUGUGCCGGAGCUAACGCGAUAAGCAUUCCGCCUGGGGAGUACGG
rnacentral:rRNA from 1 species